rnacentral:rRNA from 1 species
UACGAGGGGGGCGAGCGUUGUUCGGAAUUAUUGGGCGUAAAGGGUGCGUAGGCGGUUUGGUAAGUCUGAUGUGAAAUCUAUGGGCUCAACUCAUAGUCUGCAUCGGAAACUGCCGGGCUUGAGUGUGGGAGAGGUGAGUGGAAUUCCUGGUGUAGCGGUGAAAUGCGUUGAUAUCAGGAGGAACACCUGUGGCGAAAGCGGCUCACUGGACCAUAACUGACGCUGAUGCACGAAAGCUAGGGGAGCAAACAGG